GAUGAACGCUGGCGGCGUGCCUAAUACAUGCAAGUAGAACGCUGAAGGAAGGAGCUUGCUCUUUCCGGAUGAGUUGCGAACGGGUGAGUAACGCGUAGGUAACCUGCCUGGUAGCGGGGGAUAACUAUUGGAAACGAUAGCUAAUACCGCAUAACAGUAGAUGUUGCAUGAUAUCUACUUAAAAGGUGCAAUUGCACCACUACCAGAUGGACCUGCGUUGUAUUAGCUAGUUGGUGAGGUAACGGCUCACCAAGGCGACGAUACAUAGCCGACCUGAGAGGGUGAUCGGCCACACUGGGAGGGAGACACGGCCCAGAGUGCUACGGGAGGGAGCAGUAGGGAAUCUGCGGCAAUGGACGGGAGUCUGACCGAGCAACGCCGCGGGAGUGAAGAAGGAUUUCGGAUCGUAAAGCUCGGUUGUAAGGGAGGAACGAGUGUGAGAGUGGAAAGUUCACACUGUGACGGUAACUGACCAGAAAGGGACGGCUAACUACGUG
rnacentral:rRNA from 1 species